GUUUUGUAUAUUGCAACAGUCCUAGGAAUGUAUUGAGCCAUGCUACCAAUACAGUGCGAGACCCCUUUCCCUAGCCCAAACAAACAGCAUAUCAUCAUAGAAAGUGUUUAUGUAGUGUUGGCAAAACAUUACAUGGAGAUAAGGGAUUGGAGAUUGAAUGGGAUCAUACCUGCAUCCAACCCACAACAGCCAGCCAGGGCCUAAUGUGAUGCCUCACGCUGCCUUUCCUGCUGCAGAGAGCACAGAGACAGUCAAAGAGACGGCUUCCGCCAAGACCAGCAAAACCACAAGCAGCAGCAGAAAUCACCCCCUCCUCUUCCUCCCUGCGUCUCCAUGUCUCAGGAAGGGGUGGCCAUGGUCCCCCCUCCAGCCAGGCCAACCUCCACCCUGCUCCAGCCGUGCCACUCCAUUUCUGAGGAUGCUCAGAGGGUCCUCCGGAAGGUCUAAUGACAUGAGAAUGUUUAACCCUCUCCUGCAACAG
rnacentral:lncRNA from 1 species